rnacentral:snoRNA from 1 species
UAUGGCUAUGACGAUAAAAAAUAUAAAAGUAGUGGACUGAAAAAUACAUUGAUGAAUAAAUUAAUUCUGAGCGAUG